UCCACAGCAACCCCGUGAGAUGGUGAUUAGUGUGCAUUUUAUGGGACCACUCAACUGAGGCCCAUUUAAGUUAAACAAGGUGCACAGAGUUGAACAGCUGGGAAAGAUUUAACCGGGUCUGCCUGGCCCGAAGUAUCCAGGUUCCUCUUGGCAGCCGCACUUGGGGUAACAGUGACGCCGCUGGAGUAACAGCAAAGAGGUUAAGAGCUCACAGGGCUCUUUGGAUGGUGUACCAGGCCCUGGCAAGACCUCACUGCCGCCUCUUUGUCCAGACGGAGACCAGAAAUGGUUCCUACAGUGGCCGAGCUUGACAGCAAGUUCUAGGACAAAACCUGGGAAUCUGCAUUUCCACCAACUCCAAGGCGGUGGUGAUGCUGAGACCGCUGGUGUAGGGACCACACUUUGAGAAGCUAGACUCCAAGCUGGACAUCUGGAGCAAAACCGAAGGAGCCCCCGAUCUCAGAGGUGGACACUGAAGCCCAAGGAGGCCACGGAGCUCAUGAAAGGGCCAGCCACCAGCGUCCUGACAGCCCAAGCACAGGGGAAGAGCAUGGGUGGCUGACCCGGGAAUCACCAUGUCUACCUCCACCAACCAGGAUGAAGCCCCGCUCAGCCUUGAAAGUACACUUGCCUUUGUCAUCUACAGAGGCCCAGACCCACCACCCCUUCCCAUUCAUUGUCUUCAGCCCAUCGGCCCACACAGUGAGCUGAAGUUCUGGGGUGUGCAGCACAGCACAGGGGCCUACGGAGGACAUGGGGAGUCCAGUGUGAGGGCCCACAGCC